rnacentral:lncRNA from 7 species
UUUUCUGGAGUAGGAUCUGCACAAGAGGAAAAGGGCCAAGCCUACCCAGCUGCAAGUUUAGCAGAGCUUACGCCAGGUUUGAAUGCUCCAGCAAAGAGAAAUGGCUGCAUAUCCAUAAUUUACAGGACUAUAAAUAUCAAGAGCUCCGCUGAUGUCAUGCAUGAGCAUGUAGUUCUUAAUCAGGUCUGAGAUAAACCAGCAAACAUACUAAUGAAGACAAGAACUGUCCUGAGGAAAUACCUCCUAUUAGUUAAUAAGCAGACACAGUGGUCUGGAUUAGGAAGGAACAUGACAACAUUGUUGAAAAUGAAGAUGUGUAUCCUCAGUGAAGCCAAUGAGUCCACAGAAGCCAGGACUGUGUAACCUGCUGCUGCACAUCAGGAUUCCAGAAGAGGAAAUGAACACUACGAAUAGUGAGAGCAAUAAUACACAAGGGUGAGAUAAAUUUAUUUCUCAACUGCAUUUUGUCUUAGAAAUUUUAAAGUAGCCUUUCUGUACUGAGAGAGGCUCCAGAAGAUCAGCUGCCCAAUGCACUGCUGUGUUCCAAAUGGAAAGAUGAUUGUCAGCCCUCUGGUUUGCUAACUUUUAUCUCUCCUGAUAAAUGAACUUUAAGUGGUCAGUUGUUGACAAAAGCCCUCUUUUUAAUUGGAUAUGUGAAUUGGACCUUAUGUAACCUGGCAACAUACUAUCAUCCCUGGACCUUGUCACUCAGAUUAAACCUUGGCUCCUCCAGGAAUGGGGGUGUUCAGAGUCUACAUUUUUGUUAUUUGGAGGGAAAGAACACAUAUAUAAGCCCUGAUAUAAAGGGAGAAAAUCUUCCAAAGUUUUGAUUCAGCAGGAAUUUGCCCAAAAUAGGCAAUAACCAAAGAAACUUCAUUUGAAUGCGACUAGAUAAAAUUGUAGAGCUCUCACAUUGUCCCAUAGGAACUGAUUUUCAAUGGGUCUGAAGGAAUAUCUGGCCAAGAAGGCUGAGCUGUUGGUAAGACACCAGGGCAAGGCCAAGAAGCCCCUUACCCAAGGAACAUUGCUGCCAUUCAAUUACUCCAUGGACCUUCUCGGGGAAAAAAAAGUUCAAGAGAUCAGUAAAGGGACUGUGGAAAUAUCUGCCCAAUCUGUUUUCAUUUGUAGUAUGCCAGUUAGCAAAAGGCACUUUCCAGCACUUUCUCUGUUUUGAACAGAGCUCCAAGUAUACUUUAAAAGAAUCUCAACUACUGUGAAAGAUGGAGUUCAUGAACUGAAUAUUUUUCCUUUCUUUCUGUUUUGUCUUCUGGAUUUUUAUUUUUUUUUUUUAGCUAUUGAUUUAUCUCUAGUUGGGAAACCUCCCGGCCUUUUUAAAUCAUUAAACUUUUUUGUGGAAUUGCUGCAUAUCUGUAUGAGGGUCAGUCAAAGUCCCCAUCAAAACAAAUAACACUGCAGACGCUCAUCCUCCAGCUUCAGAACAGCUUCAGCUUUUCCCUUCAGAGAUGGCAUCCCAGUGCUAACAGUGCUCAGUCCUACACAGGAGGUGGCAGGCUGACCAGUGAACUCUACUAACACAGAGCUAGUUAGUAUAGCUAAAAUACAAUCAUUAGUUUCAAAUCUGCACCAUUGCUAACUUGGCCCAUUUAAUGGGAAGCACUCACAUAGGAUGGGUCAUCAGAGGUUCAAAAAGAAGCAUACCUUCAAGUAGAGGAAUUGUAAUGAGCAGCUGGGUGACAACAAGGGCAGAUCCCAUAUCCCUUACUGUAACAGAUUGAUGUCCAUAGCCAAACCAUCCCUCUGUUCCUAAACACUCCCAGCAUCCAAGAGACAGCGCAGCCUGCCCUUCACUCAUAACUUGCUGUAGCCUUCUUGCACCUUAACAUGAUGCUUUCAAGUUCCUCAGUCUUCUCUCUGUAAAUGUACUUUACAAGUUAAUUAUUGUUUUAUGGUUUGUGUUUAAUGUCCAUGGGGUUCUGAAAUUACUGCAUCUGAGAAAGAAAAGUUAUCAAAUUCUGUUCAUCAAGAGUGAUCUCUUGGUGUAUGUUGUGUAAUACCACUGCUUGAUGCAGUUCCAGAAGGCAAAAUUAUCAUAACCAGAACUGAGUUCAAGUAAAGGAGACUGAUAAUUGGCUUGUUCUUGAUUUGAUAGCUGCCUUGCUUAAUUCCUAACUUAUUUUGAUGUUAGUUUUAAAGACCUAAGCUGACUGAUAGUCUGUGGCUUCUUUGCUGGGUCUUGGUGGACGUAAGUUUUUCAAGGUCUGUUUUUAUUCAUUUCAUCUGUUUUGUUACAUUUCCAUUUGUUUAACUAACAUAAUAAAGUUUUCAGUGAGGUUAGAUCAUUUCUGUUGUUGAACAAAACAGUCCAGAACAUCCAAAAAACUGGGUAGAUAUCAUCCAGACAACAUAAAAGCCAAUAUUUAAAUCUUACUUUGUAAACUAAUUUAAAUCACGUUAUUACAUGUUCUGAUGCCUUAAAGUUGUUUCCUUUGAAACUUUCAUUUUUAUGCUCCCAUGCAGGAAAUACAAUAAACUUGUUUAUUUCAUUUG